CAGGUGUAGCGGUGAAAUCGUAGAGAUCUGGAGGAAUACCGAUGGCGAAGGCAGCUUCCUGGCAUCAUACUGACACUGAGGCUCGAAAGCGUGGGUAGCAAACAGGAUUAGAUACCCUGGUAGUCCACGCCGUAAACGAUGUCUACUAGUCGUUGGGUCCCUUGAGGACUUAGUGACGCAGCUAACGCAAUAAGUAGACCGCCUGGGGAGUACGGCCGCAAGGUUAAAACUCAAAUGAAUUGACGGGGGCCCGCACNAGCGGUGGAGCAUGUGGUUUANUUCGAUGCAACGCGAAGAACCUUACCUGGUCUUGACAUACACAGAAUCUUGUAGAGAUACGAGAGUGCCUUCGGGAAUUGUGAUACAGGUGCUGCAUGGCUGUCGUCAGCUNGUGUCGUGAGAUGUUGGGUUAAGUCCCGCAACGAGCGCAACCCUUGUCCUUAGUUACCAGCGGGUUAAGCCGGGAACUCUAAGGAUACUGCCAGUGACAAACUGGAGGAAGGCGGGGACGACGUCAAGUCAUCAUGGCCCUUACGACCAGGGCUACACACNUGCUACAAUGGUAGGUACAGAGGGCAGCUACACAGCGAUGUGAUGCGAAUCUCAAAAAGCCUAUCGUAGUCCAGAUUGGAGUCUGCAACUCGACUCCAUGAAGUAGGAAUCGCUAGUAAUCGCGGAUCAGAAUGCCGCGGUGAAUACGUUCCCGGGCCUUGUACACACCGCCCGUCACACCAUGGGAGUUGAUUGCACCAGAAGUGGUUAGCCGAACCUUUAGGACGGCG
rnacentral:rRNA from 1 species